rnacentral:rRNA from 1 species
GCUGGCGGCAUGCUUAACACAUGCAAGUCGAACGGUAACAGGCCGCUGUGAUCCCUUCGGGGUGAACUUGGCGCUGACGAGUGGCGGACGGGUGAGUAAUGCAUAGGAAUCUGCCCAGUAGUGGGGGAUAACGUGGAGAAAUCCACGCUAAUACCGCAUAUGUCCUACGGGACAAAGCAGGGGACCUUCGGGCCUUGCGCUAUUGGAUGAGCCUAUGUCGGAUUAGCUAGUUGGUAGGGUAAAAGCCUACCAAGGCAACGAUCCGUAGCUGGUCUGAGAGGAUGAUCAGCCACACUGGGACUGAGACACGGCCCAGACUCCUACGGGAGGCAGCAGUGGGGAAUAUUGCACAAUGGGCGCAAGCCUGAUGCAGCAAUGCCGCGUGUGUGAAGAAGGCCUGCGGGUUGUAAAGCACUUUUAUUAGGAAAGAAAAACCCGGAGCUAAUACCUCCGGCAUUGACGGUACCUAAAGAAUAAGCACCGGCUAACUCAGUGCCAGCAGCCCGCGGUAAUACUGAGGGUGCAAGCGUUAAUCGGAAUUACUGGGCGUAAAGCGAGUGUA